rnacentral:snoRNA from 16 species
ACAGUCAGGGAGGAAAGUUUCCAUGCACCACUCUGAAGUAUAGUGUGGAUUAUGGUUUAGUGUUUACUG